GUCACCUCGUCCCUCGUUCUAAUGCCCAAAACCCAAGCGACGGCACAUCCCCUUCCGUCCGUCGCGGCUAGGGUUGGGGCCGAAGGAGGCGAUCGAGAUUGCUCCUCUUCUCCUCUGGCGGGGGAGGUAGUGCCCCUCCUCCUUCUCUCCAUUUCCAAAGAUAUGUCUGCGUAGGGGUUUCGGAACGGUAAGCCGGUGCGACGGCUUUGUGGCGCUAUUAGACCUGAAAAGAUAGAUUAGUAGUCGGAGGCGAAGGUGGAGAUGUUGAAGACGGGUUCCACUCCUCGCGACAGAGCCGUGAGAUCCAACGCUAACCCUAACCCUAACCCCAGCACGGGCUCGGCAAUCGAGUCGAUCCCUAAGACUUCUUUAAUGGUUGCUUUAUCGAAUGCCGGCAGCAAAAGGCGGCCGGAGGGUGCCUCGUCCUCGAUGCAGCUUACGAGCAAGGAGGCCAAGCUGAAGAACAGCAAGCCAACUCCAGAACUAUCUGAAACUGGUAUUGAAGAAACAGAUCUUAGUACUUCAGAUGAUGAUGCUUCAUCAUGGAUAUCUUGGUUCUGUGGGUUGCGAGGUAAUGAGUUCCUCUGUGAAGUUGAUGAGGACUACAUACAAGAUGACUUCAACUUAUGCGGGCUACAAGCACAGAUCUCCUAUUAUGAUAAUGCCUUGGACAUGAUUUUGGACAAUGACUCGUUUAGUGGCGACAUUGAUGGUGAAGAAAAUAGUGAAAUUGAACCUGCUGCAGAGUUACUAUAUGGUCUUAUUCAUGCCCGUUAUGUUGUAACCACCAGAGGACUAAAUGCAAUGCAUGAGAAGUACAAGAAAGCAGACUUUGGCCGCUGUCCUCGAGUCUUUUGUGGGGGACAGCCAUGCUUGCCAGUGGGCAUAUCAGAUAUUCCCCACAGUGGAUCUGUAAGGAUCUAUUGCCCAAAAUGUGAUGACGUUUACUUUCCAAGAUGCAAAUACCAGAGUGAUAUGGAUGGUGCUUACAUUGGCACAACAUUUCCUCACCUUUAUUUGAUGACAUAUCCUUCAGCUAAAUCUGCAACGACGGUCCAGCAUUAUGUGCCAAAGGUUUAUGGAUUCAAGUUGCAUAAGGGCUCUAAAUAAUUGCUCAGAGAACAUGCAUCCCCAGUUUUAUUCUGACAGCAGGUUCAUCCUGCUCCUGAUAUGUGGCGGUCACUACUGAUCUUGACGCUGAAACAUCACCGGGCCCGGCUGCUACCCUCAAACCUUCUAUGGUGGAAGGUGUCGACAUGCCACUCUUAAUGACCAUCUUGUUUUAAAUGCUGCAAUCUUCAUCACCGAUGGAUCUUUCGUCGGUGACAGCGAUCGUCUUCGCUCAGGUCACAGAAACCUUGCAUCCUCUGCGUAGUUAUCCUCCAAGAUGACGAUUACUCGGCCGUAGUUAUCCUCUGCGUGACCCAGAAGAGAUAUCACUUCAUCUACGUCUUUUCUUUGACGUAGCCACCGAGUUAGGCUCGGCUUAUCUUACCAUUUCUUGUGCAGGAGAUAGAGAGAUUCCUGUAAAGGUCAAGUGAGUAAGGAUGAACAUGUCAUCUCACGAGUCAAUUAUCCACCUCACGUCACUUGUUUUUUUAGGAGAAGUCACCCGAGUAAAGACCAGAGAACAGAAUUAAAAAA